GGAAUUAUACCUAAGUAUUAAAGGACCACUAUGAUAGAGUGUUUUACGGGGGUUAAAAUCCCCCUGAUUCCU
rnacentral:tRNA from 1 species